rnacentral:tRNA from 1 species
UGUGGCUCAGCGGUAGAGUGCUUGCUUAGCAUGCAUAAGGCCCUGGGUUCGAUCCUCAGCA